UACGUAGGCAGCAAGCGUUGUUCGGAGUUACUGGGCGUAAAGAGUGUGUAGGCGGUUCUCUAAGUUUGGUGUGAAAUCUCCCGGCUUAACUGGGAGGGUGCGCCGAAAACUGGAGGGCUUGAGUAUGGGAGAGGAAAGCGGAAUUCCUGGUGUAGCGGUGAAAUGCGUAGAUAUCAGGAGGAACACCAGUGGCGAAGGCGGCGAUCUGGGAAGAUACUGACGCUGAGGUGCGAAAGCGUGGGGAGCAAACAGG
rnacentral:rRNA from 1 species